rnacentral:rRNA from 1 species
GUGGGGAAUAUUGGACAAUGGGCGCAAGCCUGAUCCAGCAAUGCCGCGUGGGUGAAGAAGGCCUUCGGGUUGUAAAGCCCUUUUGUACGGGAAGAAAUCAUUCGGGUUAAUACCCUGGGUGGAUGACGGUACCGUAAGAAUAAGCACCGGCUAACUUCGUGCCAGCAGCCGCGGUAAUACGAAGGGUGCAAGCGUUAAUCGGAAUUACUGGGCGUAAAGCGUGCGUAGGGGGUUGUUCAAGUAUGUCGUGAAAUCCCCGGGCUCAACCUGGGAACUGCCAUUGUGACUGCAAGGCUAGAGUGCGGCAGAGGGGGAUGGAAUUCCGCGUGUAGCAGUGAAAUGCGUAGAUAUGCGGAGGAACAUCCGUGGCGAAGGCGGCCAUCUGGACCAGCACUGACACUGAGGCACGAAAGCGUGGGGAGCAAACAGGAUUAGAAACCCCAGUAGUCC